rnacentral:rRNA from 1 species
UACGGAGGAUGCGAGCGUUAUCCGGAUUUAUUGGGUUUAAAGGGUGCAUAGGCGGUCCGUUAAGUCAGCGGUAAAAUUGCGGGGCUCAACCCCGUCGAGCCGUUGAAACUGGCAGACUUGAGUUGGCGAGAAGUACGCGGAAUGCGCGGUGUAGCGGUGAAAUGCAUAGAUAUCACGCAGAACUCCGAUUGCGAAGGCGGCAUACCGGCGCCCUACUGACGCUGAGGCACGAAAGCGUGGGUAUCGAACAGG